rnacentral:lncRNA from 14 species
AGUUCUUUACAUUCAGUUCAUAUCAAGUAUCAACAUCUUAAUGAAUAAGAACAUCUGACAGUCACAAACUCUUCAAACUCAAGAAGCAUCAAUCUGCCCUUAGUAAAACUCAGUAAAACAGUCUAGCUCCUCCACUGACAAAUUCUUCCAGUGCUGCUAUGUAUCGUAGGAAUGGUCAUACACAGAACAAAGGUCUACCUGGCCCAGAAGCCUGUCUCCAAAAGUAAUCAACAGCAGAUGCCUAGGGAAGAGUCUGAAAGCACACAGUGAUGAUUUUCCCAGAAGACGUGUUUGGGAUCUCCUGUGGAAGCACUAAUAUCUUUGUGUUUCAUUUUCCAGAGUGAGGUCUUCUUCCACGGAUUUUUUGUAUUGUUUUUUCACCUGUGCUAACUCUCAGCAUUCAUAAUACACACCAGCAAGUACCAUACCUAAAUACACUGCAUAAGGAAAAACAGAAGAUAUUUUUGAACUACUUAUGUGCUGGGAUCAUAGAUACCUGAUCUUGUUGGAAAGAGGAAUCUGGAAAUGCUGUAAAAUGAUUCAUAUCAUCAAGACCUUACUAGUUCCUGAGAACAUCUUGGUGAGAGAAAAUUUAAUAUGUUCAAGAAAACACCACACAGACCACAAAGGCUUCAUAACAAGUAGUGCGGUAGUGAAGAUUCUGAUGUUGGAGACUCCUAUUUAAGACCGGAUGGUGAUCUUAUCUCAUUACCCAAAUGAGUAUUCUGCCCCACAGGCUCUUGACUAGGAAGCAUGGCUUACAAUCUCUCUUCAUGGAGCUGUUUUGCCAUCAGAUACUGAUACCCUGAUCAGAAGCAUACAGAGUUAGAAAAACAAAGCAUGAAAAAUACAAGCAUUAGGGAAAAAAUACCACUCAUUUUAUAUUAAAAGUUUAUGGAAUAUAUUGACAGGUAUGGAUAAUACUUUGCCUCUGUGACUCCUUUGUUUUCUUUUGUGGUUUUUUGUUUUUAAUAUAGUCAGACGUGUUAGCAGAUGUAUACAGAUCAGGAAUGUGAAUACUAUGGUUUAUAGAUGCUGUUAGAAAUUAUUUACCAUCCAAAACAUGCAUAGUUUCAAAAGUUUUGAGGGCAAGCUCUACUCUCAUCUAAGUGCACAUAACCAGCUAAAAAAGAAGUCCCAAAGAAUUAAUGGUUGUUUUAGAAAACUCUUAAUUUUCUAAGUUCAGUUCUUUGGAAGUACCAAUUAAAGUGCAUUCAAAAGAAAUUGAUACUUUAAAGUCAUACUGAAAAUAAAUAGCUCUUCU